GAUGAACGCUGGGGGGGUGCUUAACACACGCAAGUCGAAAGAAGCAAAUUAUCUCGAUCCCUUUGGGGGGACGAUUUGUUGAGUGAGUGGGGGGCGGGGGAGUAAAGCGUGGGUAACCUACCCUGUACAGGGGGGCAACACUUGGAAAAGAGUGUUAAUACCGCAUAAGCGCACAGCAUUGCACGAUGCAGUGUGAAAAAUAUUUUUCGGUACAAGAUGGACCCGCGUCUGAUUAGCUAGUUGGUGAGGUAACGGCUCACCAAGGCGACGAUCAGUAGCCGACCUGAGAGGGUGACCGGCCACAUUGGGACUGAGACACGGCCCAAACUCCUACGGGAGGCAGCAGUGGGGAAUAUUGCACAAUGGGCGAAAGCCUGAUGCAGCGACGCCGCGUGAGCGAAGAAGUAUUUCGGUAUGUAAAGCUCUAUCAGCAGGGAAGAUAAUGACGUAC
rnacentral:rRNA from 1 species